GGUGGUUUAUCCUCCAACAAUGUGUUGCGCUCCAGAAGACCGAUGGAGUGAAUUUCCUUAUCUAAUGUAUUUUUGUUAUAACCCUUCUCAAGAAGUUUAUUUUUUAUAUGUAAGGAUUGGGUCUGAAAAUCCUGGAGAUCCCAACUCAUUAUCAAACAUUCGAGAGAGAUGCAAAAUAAAUUAGAAGCUGAACUGAUUGAUUUGGACUCCACCCCUUCUGUAGAUACCGAGGGGAGGGAAUUAAAGGAAAGAGAAGAGAUCCUACAUAAUAAUAUUAAAAAAAACUAGAUGAAAAAAUUGCAGAAACAAAAAAUAAAAAGUAUAGCAGAGAUAGGGAGGACAAAUUAUUAAACCCCUUCUCUACCCGUAAUAAAUUAAUAAGGAGAAAAUCACGCUCUCUCCCUCAAAAUAAGAUUAAAGGACUCCCUGAAAUAGAGUAAGAAAUAAUUCUCAUUCUAGACCAGCACCUAGGGAUCACUAUACAUUCCACUAUGAUAAUUCAACCAAUCCCCAUAGGACACCAAAUAGAGAAAGACAUGGGGUCUUUCUCUAUUUGUCCAGUAGAAUAUCUCAUGAUAGGAGGGAUACCACGAGAUACAAUGCUCAAGUUGUACGAAAUAAAACAGAUAUACAUGGAAACUCCACUCAAUAUAAUGAUCAGGAAUUAAAUUUUCAGGGGAGACCCAGAGGUCCAAAGGAAAAAUAUAUAACCAAUUACUUCUGCCCCAGAACCGAAACUUAGGAACAUCCCAACAGAUUUUCCUCUCUACAUCAAGAUUAAUCAAUGCCCCAAAAAUUCAGUGUCCCCUAAGGGAAAAGGAGACUGAUAAGGGUAUCUUCAACUUAACGGGGAUAAGACUAUCAGAUGAGGAGAUUAAUUUACUAUCUAAGGGAAUGAAAUUUGCCCCUAAUAAGAUGUCAAAUUAAUUUCAUCUUUAUAUAGAUCUUAAGAAGUUUAUCCGUUCUUUGACUAUCAAAAGACACUUUCUCUUGCAUUCCUCUAGUCCACAUGUAACCACCAAUGCCGUACAAACAAAGGCUAAUUAUAAAUUCCAACCUAAAUCACACUUCUUCCCUAUCCAGAGAAAAUUUCCUUUUUUUGGAAACCUUCGAACGUAUGGUUGACCAGACAUUCCAAUCUUUUUCCACAAGGGCAAAUAAAAACUUGCGUUCCUUCAAUCUCACUAAGAGGGAAGAAAUUAUUCUGAAGAAUUUUAUGGAACGGGAUGAUCUGGUCAUUAGAGAAGCAGACAAGGGGGGUGGUAUAGGUUUGAUGACCACCUCAUAUUAUCUGAAGUCAUUUAACAUACUGGGGGAUAGAAAAACAUAUACUAUUCUUCACUGUAACCCUACUAUCUCUUUUAAUUCAGAAUUUCAGAAAAUCUUGGUUACUGCUAAAGACAGUGGGAUUAUUUCACAAAAAGAAUUUAGAUUUGUUUUUGUUUCAAAAAAUCCUGUUAUCCCUAUUUUUAAUUUUCUUCCUAAAACCCAUAAACGUCUCCCCAAUCCACCAGGUCACCUCAUCAUUAGUGGGGUAAAUUCAUUAACUGCGAAUUUGUCUGCCUAUGUGGACUCUUUUCUUCAGAAAUAUGCCCAAGGGGCACCUUCGUACAUUAGAGAUACCAAGUCCUUUUUACAGGAACUAGAAAAUAUAGAGUGGGAUCCGGAAUACAGUUGGGCAACAUUGGAUGUGACCUCCUUGUAUACUGUGAUCAGCCACGUAUCGGGAUUGGAAGCACUUGAUUACUAUAUGACCAGAGAUACUGAGUUACCUAUGAGUCAGAAGGAAUUUAUUUUAUCCUCUGUUCAAUUUAUUUUGGAGCACAAUUAUUUCUUUUUCAAUGGUGGAUAUUAUUUACAGACCACGGGGACAGCCAUGGGCACCAGGUUUGCCCCCAGUUAUGCCAACACCUACAUGAGGAGAUGGGAGGAAUUGUUCGUGUGGUCGGGGCAUGGCUGAAGGGAGAGCCUGGUGCUUUGGCGGUGUUAUAUUGACGAUGUUAUUAUUAUUUGGAGGUGGUCUUAAAUUUAGUUUUCAGGAUUUUGUUAAAUAUCUUAAUUCCAAUUGUUAUAACAUGGUUUUCACCCCAGAAUGGAAUAAAAAUGCAAUCCAUUUCUUGGACCUUGCUAUAUUAUGAGAUCAGCGCCAGAUUUUAACUAAAUGUUUCUUCAAGCCAACCGAUGGUAAUGGCUUUGUACGGCAACAAAGCUGUCACCAUAUACCUUAGCUGAAGGGUAUAGCCAAGAGCCAGUUUACAAGCCUUAGGCGCAACUGCUCCCAUCUCCAGAAUUUUCAGACCCAAUCCUUACAUAUAAAAAAGAAACAUGGGGGCGUGGCCGACCGCGGAGCUGCAUGGAAGUGCACUGAGAGAGCUCCCUGCAGCCCUAAAGCAAAUCCACACUAAUCGGAGACUAAAAAUAUGAUAUGGGUAACCAAAAGAGGCAAGGAGGUACCCAGGAGAAGGCGGGCAAGACCCCGAACCCAAAAUCAGGCACUUUAAACAGUUUUUUUAAAGAAUCGGCAGACCGCGAGGCCGGAGCUGGAAUAAACGAAAUGGCGGCGACAGGCAAUGAAACGGAGGUAGAGCCGGCCAGCCCUGCACCCUCUGACAUGUCGAGCAGAUCCCAGGAUACAGGGAGAGAAGAUGACAUCAGGGAGAUACUGAAAUCUCUGCCAUCGAAAACUGAUCUGGCUUGCAUGCUGGGUAAGCUAGAGACAACAUUCCAAAUCAAAGUGGAAAAGAUAGAGGCAGAAGUUCAGCAGGUGAAUCAGAGGGUGACAGAUAUGGAGGAAGAGAGAGAUGUUAUGCAGGCCCAAAUCACCAACCUCGCAUCCACAAUAGACUCCCAAACACUUGCACUUGCAGGAUUCCAGAGAUAUGUCGAUGACCUGGACAAUCGCGGCAGACGAAACAAUUUGAGAAUUCGUGGUAUACCAGAAAACCAGGGAGGAGAUAUCCCUGCAGUGCUUACCGAGCUUUUUAACUUAAUUCUAGAGAAGCCAGUGAGCAAUGUGAUCCUUAUGGACAGAGCGCACAGAUCUCUCCGCCCGAGAGGUGCAACACCUGAUGCUCCCAGAGACGUGAUCUGCAGAUUACAUUACUUCACGGUUAAAGAUGACCUAAUAAAAAAUCUGAGAGAGACAUCGCAACCCCUACUGUUCCAUGGCAACAAGGUACAAAUCUAUCCUGACCUUUCCUGGUAUACACUUCAAGCCAGGAGAAUGUUAAAGCCAGUCACGGAAUUGCUGAGGCAGCGAAAUAUCAAAUACAGAUGGGGAUUUCCCUUCGCUCUCAUAGUGAACCACAAAGGGACCUUACACACCAUAGCCUCAUACCUGGACGUCACCCCAUUUCUUAGAGCUAUGGAGUUACCUGACACACAGGUGAUGGACUGGAAUCAGCCACUGGUUAACCAAGCAACCAUUCCCCCCUCACAAAGGCAGCGUGGAUAUACACCCCUGAAGAAGAAGAGGUCUGACCAAAGGUUUCUCUCGGCAGCUAGACGGCAUCCACACGGUUUGAACGGACAAUACUGAUGAAAGACGACUUGGACAGUUUAGUACUAACGAAA
rnacentral:lncRNA from 1 species